GUCAUCACAUCUCCAGCACGUUAGCCAUUUCUAACUCACAAAGUCUCAUCUCUCGGUCACAAUGGACGUCAGGCUUGUUGUGAUUCUCUCCAUCUUUAUAACAUGUGUUGUCCCCAGGCUCAUCUCUCCAGGGUCCCCAGAAGUGAUUGAAUGUGACCUGAGGAACGUCACUCUGGUCAUCUGGUACCGGCAGUACCCUGGUCAGCCCCCGGUGGCUUUAGGGGUCUAUGACAACAACUCAGCUCUUCCACCAACGAUGUUCACUGACUAUUUUAAUGGAGUCUUUUCUUAUUCCAAUGAGUCUGUGACUUUAACAUUUAAAAAUGUCACCAAAAGUGACGCUGCAACUUAUUAUUGUGUGAAGAUGGAGAGUCAGAGGUCCGUGUUUGGGAAUGGAGUCACGCUGACUUAUGAGGAGACGUACAAAAAUCAAACAUCAAAUUCCUCUUCCUUUGAGAAUGUCGCCUGUGCCAGCUGGCACCAAGUCAGUCCAGUAUUUCUAUGA